UACGUAGGGUGCUAACGUUGUUCGGAAUCACUGGGCAUAAAGGGCGCGUAGGCGGCUUCAAAAGUCCUGUGUGAAAGCCCCCGGCUUAACCGGGGAAUUGCACUAGAAACUGUGAGGCUAGAGUGUAGAAGGGGAGAGCGGAAUUCCUGGUGGAGCGGUGAAAUGCGUAGAUAUCAGGAGGAACGCCGGCGGCGAAAGCGGCUCUCUGGUCUACUACUGACGCUGAGGCGCGAAAGCUAGGGGAGCAAACGGG
rnacentral:rRNA from 1 species